GAUGAACGCUAGCGAUAGGCUUAACACAUGCAAGUCGAGGGGCAGCACAAGGUAGCUUGCUAUCUGGGUGGCGACCGGCGCACGGGUGCGUAACGCGUAUGCAACUUGCCCUAUACAGGAGGAUAACCCGUCGAAAGACGGACUAAUACUGCGUAUGCUCACAACUUGGCAUCAAGUGGUGAGGAAAGAAAUUCGGUAUAGGAUAGGCAUGCGUCCCAUUAGCUUGUUGGUGAGGUAACGGCUCACCAAGGCAACGAUGGGUAGGGGAACUGAGAGGUUUAUCCCCCACACUGGUACUGAGACACGGACCAGACUCCUACGGGAGGCAGCAGUGAGGAAGAUUGGUCAAUGGGCGCGAGCCUGAACCAGCCAAGUCGCGUGAAGGAUGACUGUCUUAUGGAUUGUAAACUUCUUUUAUACGGGAAUAACAAGAGUAACGUGUGACUCCCUGCAUGUACCGUAUGAAUAAGCAUCGGCUAACUCCGUG
rnacentral:rRNA from 1 species